UACGAAGGGGGCUAGCGUUGUUCGGAAUUACUGGGCGUAAAGCGCACGUAGGCGGAAAUUUAAGUCAGGGGUGAAAUCCCGGGGCUCAACCCCGGAACUGCCUUUGAUACUGGGUUUCUUGAGUUCGGAAGAGGUAAGUGGAAUUGCGAGUGUAGAGGUGAAAUUCGUAGAUAUUCGGAAGAACACCAGUGGCGAAGGCGGCUCACUGGACCGGUAUUGACGCUGAGGUGCGAAAGCGUGGGGAGCAAACAGG
rnacentral:rRNA from 1 species